UCUGGUCAUGUUCUUAUGAUUGAUUCAGUUUCUACUGCAAAAAAAAGAGUGAAACUAUAACCAAACAGGUGUAACUUGACACCAUAGACUUUACUUUUAGCUUUCAACUUUUCAAAAUGGUGCAAAUAGAGAUAUUUCGGAGCUGUUUUAAGGGAGAUAUAGAUAGAAGCUAGGUUUAUAGUUGUUUUAAUUAAACAACUUAUAACUUUUGCAUAGGACAUACUCUCUCUCUCUCUCUAACUAUUUUUAUUUGUCCUAAGUCAACUUACCUCAUGUUUGACUAAAAUGGUAGGAAAAUAUAUUAAUUUCUACUACGUCAAAAAGGUAGUUGUAAAAAUAUAUUCCAUAAUGUUUAUAACGGAGCUCACAUAAUGUUAAAAUAUUAUUGUUCUUUCUAUAAAUUUUAGUCAAAUUUAAGAUAGGUUAACUUAGGGUAAAUGAAAAUAUACUACGUCCUUGCUGAUUCACACGGGAUUCCACGUGCCUCAUGCUACUCGGGUCAGAGCGUAAGCUAGUGAUGCUUUCGGCUACUGGACUUUAGCCAUCUAGGGUGCGGCACUCAACCGCUUCGCCUAGCAGCACAACGCUUGUAUUGCUCUCCCACAACCCCGUUUUCACGGUUUAGGCUGCUCCCAUUUCGCUCGCCGCUACUACGGGAAUCGCUUUUGCUUUCUUUUCCUCUGGCUACUAAGAUGUUUCAGUUCGCCAGGUUGUCUCUUGCCUGCUCAUGGAUUCAGCAGGCAGUUCAAAAGGUUGACCUAUUUGGGAAUCUCCGGAUCGACGGAUGGAGCAAAUCCUUAGAUUGCAUAAAGUCGGAUUUGCAUGAUAUAGUUGUGGUGAUAUCACAACAAGAAGCUGUUUUAUGCGGGAUAUAGUUGUGAUGGUCUCACAGCAAUUGAUAUAUGUGGUUAAGGAUAUUUUUUUUCUAGACAAAUAGAUGACAGUCUAGUUUAGGCCUUGUUUAGUUCUAAAAGUUUUUAGGAAAUCGACAUUGUAGCACUUUCGUUUGUAUUUGAUAAAUAUUGUCCAAUCAUGGACUAACUAGGCUUAAAAGAUUCGUCUCGUCAAUUCCGACCAAACUGUGCAAUUAGUUUUUAUUUUUGUCUGUAUUUAAUAUUCUAUGCAUACGUCUAAAGAUUUAAUGUGAUGAGAAAUCUAAAAAGAUUUACAAAAUUUUUUGGGAACUAAACAAGGCCUUAUAAAUUGUAUUCACUUGGCGCGUGUUGUGGAAGCCAUAUGAUUACGACGGUAUCACAACAUUCGACACACGUGACUAAGGAUUUUUUUUUCAGACAUAUACGUAGCGGUCUAAUUUAUGAAUUGGUAGUAAAAGAAUUGGUAGUGAAGUGUUAGAUCUUUUCUCGGUUGCGUGUCUCUUGUUAGGUGGAGAACGCUGGAAGUUUUUCUGCAAUGUUUUUGUAUCGACAUGAUGUAUUCAGAGGUUUUUAUAUAAAAAAGGUUUCUUAAUUAAAAGACGUGUGUUCCUGGUGAAGAUGUCAGAUUCCGAUGGGAGAGAUUGGAAAACGGCUGCUGGCCAAACAAGCCCUUGUUGUUGAGUUCACUCUGAAAAUCAAAAAGUUUUUAAGAUUCUCCGUCACAUCGAAUCUUGUGCCACAUACAUGAAACAUUAAAUAUAAACAAAAAAAACUAAUUACACAGUUUAGCUAUAAAUCACGAGACGAAUCUUUUGGUCCCAGUUAGUUCAUGAUUAGAUAAUAUUUGUCACAAACAAACGAAAGUGCUACAGUACCGAAAACUUUUCACUUUUCGGAAGUAAUUGGCCUUGUUUAGUUCUCAAAAAAUUUUCCAAAAUUUUUCAGAUUUCCCGUCACAUCGAAUCUUUAGAGGUAUGCAUGAAGUAUUAAAUAUAGACGAAAAUAAAAACUAAUUACACAGUUUGGUCGGAAUUGAAGAGAUGAAUCUUUUGAGCCUAGUUAGUUCAUGAUUGGACAAUAUUUGUCAAAUACAAACGAAAUUGAUACUAUUCACAUUUUGCCAAAAAUUUUGGAACUAAACAAGGCAAGCCCAAGUGGAAUGCACUGCACUGCACAACACGCCCGCACGGGUACGGCAGACGGGCCUUGGUGGCUGGGGGCCUGCGCGCUGUUUGCGCAAAUAUUUGUUGGAGAACCAGAACAGUGCGACAUGGAGUUAUUUCCCGUCGAUCUGAUCUGCCGGUUCUGCUCUCGUUCGUCGAUGAUCAAUCGAUGCGCGCUGAUGAAUGCCAGAGUACACCCCAACAGUGCCGCUGUACCAACUAGGGCCUUGUUUACAUUCAAAAAGUUUUUGGAUUUUAAUAUUAUAGUUUUUUUGUUUUUUAUUUGACAAAUAUUAUUCAAUUAUAGAAUAACUAGGAUUAAAAGAUUUGUCUCGCGAUUUACAGACAAAUUGUGUAAUUAGUUUUUGUUUUCAUCUAUAUUUAAUGCUCUAUGCAUAUGCCGCAAGAUUCGAUGUGACGAGGAAUCUUGAAAUUUUUUUUUUUUCCGGAGGUGAACUAAACAAGGUCUAGAAAGUAGUGUUGGCUGAUUUAUUGUGAGAGAAAAACACGGCUAGGAUUGAAGCAAACAAGACGUAGAGUUCCCUGCGGUGGUCGGAUGAUCCGACGGCGAAGGUGGAUCGGAACCUUUUGCAAUUGCAUGGAGAGAGGUCAGAGGUCGACAAGAUCUUCAGACUUAAGAGGCGCCGCGUAGCGUAGGCCUAGCCUAGCCUAGCCUUGCUCACAUUUUGGUAGCGUGACGUUGUUGUCCAACGACAAGGACGGACGCACGCCGUGAUCGGUCGAUCGAUGGAAUGCAUGUGUGCCGCCGUUGCGUGGCCCCGUGGGUGGGGGCGGGGGGAAGAGGAAUGCGACCGGCCGGGACUAAUGGAAGCUCCCCGGGACGGAAUCAUGGGGGAUGAUUAGUUGCCAUGAUAACUGUGGCGUCCCUCUCGCUUCGGUUGCACUGUCCCCAGCCCCAGCUCAUAAGCUUUCGCUUGUACUACCUACCACUCGCUACCAGGCAGGCGGCGAGCGAGACGACGAACCAACCGUGGCGUGGCAAUCGGCAAUGGCAACCACCAGUCCACCACCACCACCACCACACGGGACAAGGGGGGCACCAGGGCGCAGGGGACACCUCCAUCUCGUCCAGUUCUCCGCGACGACUCCUUCUCCAUGUGCAGCAGGCGCAGCGCCAGCCUCUUGGCUCUUGCCGUGCGGUGCCUAUAGCUAGCUGCGGCGCACUGCCCAGUGCCACCAACCAACCUCGCUCGCCGUUGACAUGUGAGAAGCGGUCGAGCUUGCUUGUCCGUGUGCUGCUUGGAAUGGAAUGUAACGCGAUGUGGUGACCAGCGUUGCCGGUGAUCCCUGACCGACCCUGCAGAAAUCGUCUAGCACGGCCGCCUCCAUCAGACCCAGAUUGUGCAGCAGCACGCGGCGUGUGAACCGACCGAGGACUGCGGGUUUUGGUUAAGGCCUUGUUUAGUUUGGGAAAAAUUUUGGAUUUCGCCACUGUAGCACUUUCGUUUGUUUGUGGGAAAUAUUAUCUAAUCAUAGACUAACUAGGAUCAAAAGAUUCAUCUCGUGAUUUACAGAUAAACUGCGUAAUUAGUUUUUAUUUUCGUCUAUAUUUAAUGCUUCAUGCAUCUGCCGUAAGAUUCGAUGUGACGGGGAAUCUUAAAAAAUUUUGGGAACUAAACAAGGCCUAACGGGGCACGCGCACACGCACACGCACACGCCUACGAGCGGGCAGCGGCAGCGGCAGCCGGCAGCUAGCUGCAGCCUGCAAGUGGCAGUGGCAGCGCCCAGUGGGCUGGCGGCCUGGCACCUUUCCCUGCGGCGGCGGUCCGGCCGACCGGUAGCGGCCCGCGCCAGCCCGCUCGUGGCGUACCGCUGCACUGCACUGCACCUGGGCGCGGUGCCUCGGACUGCCGGCCGGUGCCGCAGCCCGCAGGGGCAGAGCACGCAGCGAGCACCCAUCAAUGACCCCGGGUCGCAGCUGGAGCGCCCUCCCCUCCGCACCUCACCUCACCACUCUCUCCACGGCCACUGUUACGCGCUGCACAGUUACUGUUAUGCAGCAGAGAAACUGAGGCCUUGUUUAGUUCACUCCGAAAACCAAAAAGUUUUCAAUACAUGAAACAUUAAAUAUAGACGAAAACAAAAACUAAUUACACAGUUUAGCUAUAAAUCAAGAGAAGAAUCUUUUGGUAUAAUAUUUGUCACAAACAAACGAAAGUGCUACAGUACCGAAAACUUUUCACUUUUCUCAACUAAACAAGGCCUGAGGCCGUGUGCCCGUGUUCGCCAUGCCUGCUGUCAUUGUGAGCCAACAUUCUACCGUGGUAAAACUGUCCUGUAGUAUGUCAUAUCCUUCCUCGUCUAUCGGUGUGUGUGUGUGUGUUUGCUGAACGGAGGUUGCGUCGAUAUAUAAGCCAAUGUAAGAAAGUUAUUAUUAAGAUGAUAUUUGGUUGUCUAUAUAAACAGAUGCAAUUUGAGUAUUUGACUAUCGUGUAUGACUGACAUGUGGGCCCCUCUCGCUCCAUCCGCAGGGCCUACUUUGGGACCGAUGGCUGGAAUGGCCGCAUGACCAUAGCCCAGAUGUAGCUCUAAUCCUGCACGAGCGGAUGCAGCCGGUCACCCAAAACAUCCUUCCUCCUAGUUUAUUCGGCUGGCAAUGUGUAGGCUGGUCGGUGCAUGUUUUUGCAUAUAUUUUUUUUACGUGCACAAAUGCAUAUUGUAGAUAUGUGAAAUGCAAAGAUCGACCGGAUCAAACCAAGACAAAUCGGAUGUAGAAUGCGGCAAUGAUCAUAUCCUUAGUGAAACAACUCAUGAACUGUGUAGAAAGAAACCAAAUAGGUUUAUUUUGAGAAGACGUAUGAUAAAGUUAAGUAGCCUUUUUUAUAUAAAAAAUAUUAAAGAAUAGAUUCCUUUUAACAAGGUGAAAACAAAAAAAAAAGGACUUUUUAGGUCAAAGACUUAUUCCUUGGUUUAUCUACUUUUGAUUUUUGACAAGAACGAGUGGUUAGAAAACUUUACUCUCAAAAAAUGACAUUUUUUGUUAUUAUACAACAAAGCAAGGAGAAGGAAUGUAACUAGCUCAAGUGUUUGUUGUGAAUGAUGGUGGAUAAACGAUGAGGAGACACAAGAUUUAACGUGGAAAACUCCUCCAAUGCGAAGGGGAAAAACCACGGGCACCAGCCAGCAAACACUCCUCACUAUUAUCAAGAGUUGGGUUACAACGCCAUGAGGCGGCUUACAAGAUCAUAUCUUCGGUGGAACCUUAAUUUGGAUAUAUGUACCGUACAGAAGUUGGCUUUUAUAAUGUGCAACUGAAUUUGGAACAUAUUCAACAGUGUUUAGGUCUACACCUUUGAACAUUUCGUUUAAUUGAGCCCUAGUAGAAGAUAGGCUACGUAAGUAGAAUGAGUUGGUUAAUGUAAUAGUGUUUGUGCAACUUGAUGGCCCACGCGACUUUGAAAUGGGGUCAUAUAGGAACUUGAUGACCAAUUUCCACCAUAUUGCAAUGCCUCUAACCAAAUCUUUAUAGAAGUUGAAGUUACAUUUUAAAAUUAGAGUCCUUGCUUGGUCAACAAAAGACAAUCUUCUAAAGCGCAAUUGUUAUUGUCGACGAAAGCUAGUCGGCAGUCUACCUUGGAGUAUACCCAAGGCAGUAGUUUAUCGGCAAACGAUGCGCAAGCUACGAACUUGAUGGUGACGCAAGACACGGACAAGCUUUUUAUCCAAGUUCGGCCGCCGUGUGGGCGUAAUACCUACGUCCUGCGUCUGGUUGUAUUGAUUUGUGUUGAGAUAAUAAUGAGUUGUCUAUGACUUGUCCUCUAGGGGACCCUUGCCCCUCCUUAUAUAUCUUGAAGGGACAGAGUUACAAACAAAGUAUCCUAUUUGGUACAAUAUCUUGUAGUCUUGCGGUGCACACCGACCAGUCGUGCGCCGCACGUCUUCAUCCUGUGGGUCGAGCCACCUCUGACGGUGCGGCCCAUAUAGGCCCAUGAGGUGUCGACGAAAGCUGGUCGGCAGUCUACCUUGGGGUAUACCCACGGUAGUAGUUUAUCGGUAGACGGUGCGCAAACUACGAACUCGAUGGUGACGCAAGACACGGACAAGCUUUUUAUCCAGGUUCGGCCGCCGAGUUGGCGUAAUACCUACGUCCUGCGUCUGGUUGUAUUGGAUUGUGUUGAGAGAUUACGAUGUCCUAGGGGGGUCCCUUGUCCCUCCUUAUAUAGUCCGGAGGGCAGGGUUACAGAUCUGGAAACUAAUCCUAGUCGGUUACAAUUGCCAUAGAUAGUUCGAUAUCAAUUCCUAUUCUAACCGACUAGAAUUCUGUUUGAUCUCCACAUCUUGCUUCCUUGUGCGAGACUCCAGGCUGUCGGAUCAAGCCUUAAACUCGUCUCGUAAUGGGCCAAGCCUCCUGGCCCAAGUCUAGCCGUAAGGGUAUAGGGGUCUAUCCCCCCACAGCUAGUCCCCGAGCACCAUGUAUUGUGAUGUAACACGCCGCCUUGAGCUUCUUCGAUCAGUGAGACUUGACGUCUUCAAUAAGCGGGAAAGUCGCCCAAACAGUUGCAACAGUAUUUUGACCAACUCAAAAGACAGUUGAUCAACAUUGUCAUCGAAGAAGCAGGUUGUUUGAAGAAUGCAUGGUGCUCUAAAUUAAAAAAAGAUUUCUUUCUUGGUGAAGUGUGCCCACUUUACUUUUGCGAAAAGUGUAGUCUUCAAAAUAGCAAGCAUAUUCACCGCAAGGUGAAGUGUGCCCACUUAGUCCCCGAGCCUGGUAGUAGGUGACGUAGGCACGUGGUGCCAGGGUCAAAAGAAAAGUCCUCAAAGAAAUUCUGAAACCGAGAUGCAUCGCCAGAUGCAUCGUACCGAUGUAGUCCCCGAGCUUGCUGGAAGGCGAAGUAUGAGCCUUGUAGCAAGGUCUAAAGAAUUGAAUUUACCAGUCCCCGAGCAUGUCAUGCUCGUCUGUAAUCGAAAAGACCCGUCCCCAGGCACUUAGUGUGCUGCCUGGAAUUACAUGUUACUAUACUAUACGACCAGUCCCCGAGCAUCGAGUGCUCGGUGGUCGGUGAAUGCUUUAAAGCUGUGAGCUGAUAGACUGAGCGACCAGUCCCCGAGCGUCGAGUGCUCUGUGGUCGGUGCAUUAUUUGAAGUUCCGAGCUAAUAAACUGAGCGACCAGUCCCCGAGCGUCGAGUGCUCGGUGGUCGGUGCAGUCUUUGAAGUUCCGAGCUAAUAAACUGGGCGACCAGUCCCCGAGCAUCGAGUGCUCGGUGGUCGGUGCAGUCUUUGAAGUUCCGAGCUAAUAAACUGGGCGACCAGUCCCCGAGCAUCGAGUGCUCGGUGGUCGGUGCAGUCUUUGAAGUUCCGGAUUGCUGACUCACUGGCGUAUGUGUCUUCUUACUUUUGAAAAGGUCUUUCAAAUUUGAAGUUGACAUGACGGGGUCUCCUGACGAUAUGUCAGACGGAUGCAUGAAAAGCUGUGCCUGGCAACUGUACAACCGCUCUUUGCGUGGUUUGAGAAAAAGGAAACCAUCAAUUGGUACGAAAACUCCGCCGCAUUAAUUGUCUAUAAUCAUUAUAAACCGAAACGCCGCGUCCGCCGCAUGGCCUGCCCACUUCCCGAGAUUACAGGAAGUGGGAGAGGUGGGGUCGCUGGUUUAUAAGGGCCUAAUAGGACCUCCUGUACCGCUUCUCCUGCAAUUGCCGUCAAAUCUUCCGCUUUCAUCUUCUCCAAUCUCCUGCACUUUCCUAGCCCAGCGCGCACUCGCACCUCUAAUGGCGAAGAGCGAUUCCAGGAAGAGGGCCGAACUGAUGGCCAAGGAGUGGAAAAAAUCUCGCAGCACCACAAAGUCUCUUGGUGACCUCGUCGACAUGGGGCUUCUGCACGACGCAGAGCUCGGCGGCUGGAGGGCGCCGGAAGGGGAGAGCUACCCCGACCCUCGCGCCGGUGAGAUCGUCGUUUUUGAAGACUUCAUCAAGAGAGGCUUUGGUGUUCCUGUUCAUCCCUUUCUACAGGGUCUUCUUUUGUACUAUGAGAUCGGGAUUUGCAAUCUGCACCCGAACUCGAUUCUCCUUAUUUCCACCUUCAUCCAUCUGUGCGAGGCCUAUGUUGGCAUAGAGCCGCACUUUGAUCUUUUCCGGUACCUUUUCUGUCUGAGGAAGAAGGGAGCAGUUGGAGGCUCCAAGGUUGCAGGUGGAGUAUACCUCAACCUUCGUGAUGGGAUGAAGAACCGCUACCUACACUGCCCAUGGAACACCUCUUUGACCGAAUGGUACAGGAGGUGGUUCUACGUCAGGGAGGAACCGGGCAGCUCCACGUUCUGCGACGUGGGGUACGUUCCCGAGAAGAGGGCGAGCUGGAGCGACCGCCCGGAGUACGACGGUCAAGUGGCGGAGCUGAUGAAGCUGAUCGACUGGUCGCGCCUGGACGGGUUUAGCGUGGUCGGCAACUUCAUUUGCCGCCGGGUGAUGCCCUGCCAGAAGAGGGUGCACUCGGCGUAUGAAUAUGCCGGAAGCGCAGACCCGACCAGGAUGCGGUCGGAGAUCCUGGAGAAGGCGGAGGUACAACAGCUGCUGAACGAGCUGUUUAACUUUGCCGAUGGGGGCUUCACCCGUAGCAGUGAUCGGGUGCAAGCCUUCAAACUAGGACGACCAGCACCAAAGGUAUGUAGCAUAGCCCGUUUGAUCAUUCUUAUGUCGUCUGCAGUUGGCUCACCUCUGUUGCUUUUGCAGGUCGGUGAUGUCGACCGGUGCGUAGUGUACGCAUCACUGGCACCGGGGAUGGAAGAUCCUGUGGGAGAGGUCCCGUCGGAAGAAGACCGAGCCCGCCCCGUCCUGACCUCCGAGGAGAGGGUAGCGGGGAAAAGGCCAUUGCCGGCGAAUCCCUUGCCAACGCCGGAGCUGCCGGCAGACCUACCGGCGGAGAGCAGCCAAGCGCCGAAGCGUCGUCGGCUCGUGCGGAUCGUCGACGACGACGAGGACGACGAGGAGGCUGCGCCGUCGCUGGUCCGACGGCCUCGGGACCGCCCAGACGCUGCGCCGGUCGCCACUGAUCGAGUGGCCAGCGACGCGGCUGCCCCGCAAGUUGCCGAGGUGGGGGCACAGGCGCCGACCGGCCGGGCGAGGAGGAGGUUCACCGCGACCCAUCGGCGGUCAGACCUGUAAGUGUUCAACUUACGUAUUUUGGACUCCUCUCUCUUUUUUUUUUUUUUCUUUUUUUUUAACUUUUGUUCCUGUAGUGCGGCAUCGGAUGUCGACCCUGGCCAAACUGCUGGCCAGGGAACGGGCGAGCCUGCCCGCGGUUCUGGGGAUGCGGCCCCCCAGACCACAGAGCAGCCAACAGCUGCAGUCGCGCCUGGGAGCACGGAGGGGCUCCCGAGCGCGGCGCCUACUACAACAAGCAGCCCGACCAGGGCUGGGGAGGCUCCCCCAACUGACUCCUCGGAGAAGGGAAAGUCUCCGACCGCUCCUCCUGCCGGGGGGAGUGAAGUCCCCCUGCCGCCCCGAGCAGGAGCCUCUCCGGCUGCGGGCUCCCCAGGUCUGGUCCAAGGGACGGUGGCGCCUGGGACCACCACCGGGGGUGACGCAGCCCAGGAGGAGGAAACCAGGGCGGCCUCCGACGACGAGGUAGAAGAGAUCGAGGGUCGUCCCCGUGAUGGCCGCCAACACGUGUAUGUGUGGCGCCAACGCGGGGAUCACUUUAUCGGUCAUGAGGAGCUCGCCGAGUCCGAAGAGGCCGCCAGGGUGGAGCGCGCGGCUAAGCGCCUUGUCGACGAAGUCAAGGUAAGCGGCGUUUUGAGCUGCCGCGCGAUCUUUUGCCUUGUCUUCUGCGCAUUCUUAUAUGCUUGCUUUGUAGGACGUUAUGAAAACGGCGAAGUACCGGAAACGGUGCUUUGACCAGAUAGAAGGCGUCAUGGCCGAGAACAAGGCCCUUGCCGCGGAGGUAGACCGGUUGCGGGCGGAGGUCGGAGAGAAGGUGGUCGAGAUGAGCGCCGAAAAGGAGCGUCGUCUCGACCUCUCUCGUCGCCUGGCCGACCAGUACCGGCUGCAGGAAGGUUAGUCACACGCUCCGAGCAGUUUCACAUACUUGUAUAGUUUGCUUUGCUGACCAGUUAAUCGAUUCACGCAGACUUGGAGGAGGAGGUGGCGAGCCUCCAACAAGAGAAGGAGCAGCUCGGCCAACAGCUCGCCAGUGCACAGGAGUCCGGGCGGCGAGCGGAAGAGGAGUUGGGCCGAAAAGACCGGGAGUUAGCUGGUAAUGAGUGCCGCCUUGUUGAUUGCUGCCUGCCCUGUGCUUGUCUGGUAACGUUUCAUUUCGUUUGCAGUGCUCAAGGUGAACACCAAGAAGCACCUGGAUGAGCUGAUCAGGGACCGGGACUCCUGGAAGGCCAACUGUUGCAAGAUCUGGAAGGGAGUGUCCCCGGUCCUGGACCUGAUCAGUCCCGAGCUCCCGGAGAGCCAGCCCCGCGCGCCGCAGUUGACCCCAGUCGAGAAGGCGCAACGGGCGUGGGACUGGCUCCAGCAGUUUGUGAAGGACGCCGGAGAGUUUGCCGGCGCGCACGUCCUCAGCAUGGUGCGCGCCCACUACCCCCUGGUUGACUUGAGCAGGCUGGAGAAGGGGUACCCGAAGGAAGUCGGCCCACAGGAAGCGGACGAACUUCGGGGUAGUCUGCUGGAUUUGUCGUCGACGGUGAUCGGCGACAUCAACCUGUGCGGAACGGCCACUCCUCCAGACCAGCCGAGCUCAGAUAGGUCGGCCAGGGAGUUGUCGGGCGCGUCCGUUGCUGGAGAUGGGCGGUCGACGCCUGCGGUCUCGACCAGCCAGGCGCCGGUGGCCCCGACCCCUUCGUCCGGGCAGCAAGGCCAGGCGGGUGAUCAGCCCGAGCAGCUAGGCCAAUAAAGUAGUCUGUAGGAAUAGACUAGUAUCUGCCCGUCAGGGUGUUUAUUGUAAACUUUGUAUGUAAAGUUUGUAAUAAAGUUUUCUUUUUUGUCAUGACUGUUGUUUUGAGCGCUGUAAGAAUGUCUGAGUGACGUGUCACCGUAUUUGUCUUGGUUGUCGCCAAGAGCAUCCAUUGCAGGAGUUUUGCUGGGUGCUGCGUACGACAAGGUAUAGGCGAGAAAUAUAGAAUCUUAUUAUCAAAAAUUAUAAGAUACUUACAAAAGAAAGCCAUUAAAACGUUAUGGAUAGAAUCGUCGCAGUUUGUCGAUGUGCCAAGAGUUAGGCACUCGUGUUCCGUCUGGGUAUGCCAAUCUGUAGGACGUAGGUCGUGUGACCUUGGUCACCACGAAGGGUCCUUCCCAGGGAGUGGAUAACUUGUGCAUUCCCUCCUGGUUCGUUUUCCAUCGAAGCACCAGAUCGCCGACCACAAAGGAACGGUCCUUGACGUUCCUGUUGUAGUAUCGCCUGACUGCCGCGAGAUAUUUUGCUGUUCGGAGACAUGAAACUAAACGAUUUUCCUCCAUGCAAUUGACUUCGAGUUCCCUGGCGUUGUCGGCAGUCGCCUCGUCGUAGUGCUCGAUUCUAGGAGAUCUGAAGUGUAUGUCGGCCGGCAGGACCGCCUCUGCACCGUAUACCAUGAAGUAGGGAGACACCCCUGUGUUUCGACUGGUCUGGGUUCGGAGGCCCCAGACUACUGCCGGCAAUUCUCUCAUCCAUCGACCGGGUGCUCUGUCGUUUUCGGUGUACAGCCUCUUCUUUAGGGCAUCAACGAUCAUUCCAUUAGCACGUUCGACUUGACCGUUAGCACGUGGGUGUGCUACUGACACAUAUUUUAUGACUAUGCCUCUGUCAUCGCAGAAAUCCCAAAAAGUGGUGCCAGUAAACUGAGUGCCCAGGUCGGUGAUUAUGCUGUUCGGGAUGCCGAAUCUGUGUAUGAUUUGAUUGAGAAACUCCACGGCCUUCUCGGAGGUUGCCUUGACCAAGGGCAUGUAUUCGAUCCACUUGGAGAACUUGUCGAUUAGCACGAAGACAAACUUGAAGUUGCCCGGGGCUGGUUUAAAUGGUCCGAUCAUGUCAAGCCCCCAGCAAGCAAAGGGCCAAGACGACGGGAUAGUCUGAAUUUCAUGGGCGGGUACGUGGGUCCUCUUAGCGAAAAACUGACAUCCUUCGCAAUGCCGAACCAGUUUUUCUGCGUCGCCGACCGCGGUUGGCCAAUAAAAACCUGCUCGGAAAGCCUUUCCGACCAGCGUUCUAGAUGCGGCGUGGUUGCCGCAGGAUCCAGCGUGUAUGUCUUCCAAGAGCUUGAUACCAUCAUCUUGGGGUAUGCACUUGAGCAGUACUUCGGAGCUUGCGUUUUUCCGCAUGAGUUUUCCGUCGACCAGGAUGUAGUUCUUUGACCGUCGGAUGAGGCGCUCGUUCUCUGUUUUGUCCUGAUAGCCUGUUCCGUCUGAUAUGUAUUUGAUGAACGGGGUGCGCCAGUCACGCCCACCGGUUGCCGGAGUGGCGUCAUCUAUGAGCAUUGCCUCGGUGGGUUGCUUGUCGACCAGGGGAGGGCUUACGCUUGGCUCAUGGAUGUCCUGGACAAAAAUACCCCGCGGGAUCUGGGCCCGAGAUGAGCCUAACUUUGACAACGCAUCUGCUGCUUGGUUCUUGUCCCGGACCACGUGGAUGUACUCUAUGCCAUAGAAGUGAGUUUCCCAUUUGCGAAUUUCUUUGCAGUAGAGAUCCAUCUUCUCGUGGGUUGCGUCCCACUCCUUGUUGAGCUGGUUGAUGACCAAGGCAGAGUCGCCGUAGACAUAGAGGCGCUUGACCCCCAGUUCAACGGCUAGUCGUAUGCCGUGUAAGCAUGCUUCGUAUUCGGCGACGUUGUUUGACGCCGGGAAAAGGAUCCUAAGGACGUAGCGGAGUUUGUCCUUGUUGGGUGAUACGAACAGUAUCCCAGCGCCUGCACCGUUGAUGUUCAAGGACCCAUCGAAGAACAUAGACCAGUGGUCUGAGACAUCGGGAACGGAAGGUUCGUUGAGAUCCGUCCAUUCGGCAAUGAAAUCGACCAGGGCUUGGGACUUGACAGUGGUGCGACUCUGGAACUCCAGGGAAAAUGGACAUAACUCCAUUGCCCAUUUCACGAUUCUGCCAUUGGCGUCUUUAUUGCGCAGGAUGUCACCGAGAGGAAAGCUGGUUGUCACCAGGACUCGAUGGCCGUCGAAGUAAUGCUUCAGUUUUCUUGACGUUAUCAGGAUGGCGUAUAUAAGCUUCUGUAUUUGUGGGUACCUGGCCUUGGAUUCGUUUAAAACUUCGCUUAUGAAGUAAACGGGUCUCUGGACCUUGAAGACGUGACCUGGUUCAUCUCGCUCGACCACUAUUGCCGUGGAAACAACCCUGUCGGUUGCAGCAAUGUAAAGGAGCAGGUCUUCAUUAGGCUGAGGCGCUGUGAGGACAGGCGGUGAAGUGAGGAAGAUCUUAAGCUGAGUGAACGCGGCGUUGGCUUCUUCGGUCCAGGAGAAUUUUUCUGACGCUUUCAAUAGUUUGAAGAAAGGGAGGCCUUUUUCUCCCAGCCUUGAAAUGAAACGGCUGAGGGCGGCCAUGCAUCCGGUUAGCUUCUGAAUGUCCUUGACGUUCUUCGGUGGUCGCAUGUCGAGUACGGCUUUGACUUUUGAAGGGUUUGGUCGUAUGCCGUCGCGACUGACGACGUUGCCGAGCAGUAGACCGGAAGGAACGCCGAAAAUGCAUUUCUUGGGGUUGAGCUUCCACUUGUACCUAUUGAGUGCCUUGAAGGUUCGGUCUAAGUUGUCGAUCAGGGUGCUCGCGUCCCUUGUUUUUACGACCACGUCGUCCACGUAGGCCUCGACGAGGUCAUCGCGAAUCUCGUCGUGGAGGCAUUGCUGGAUGGCCCUUUGAUAAGUGGCCCCGGCGUUUUUAAGUCCGAAAGACAUGGUAGUGUAACAAUAUGCGCCGAAGGGUGUGAUGAAGGAUGUUUUGAUCUGAUCUUCUUCCUUUAACGAGAUCUGGUGAUAACCAGAGUAGCAAUCUAGAAAGGAGAGGAGUUCGCAUCCGGCCGUUGAGUCGACCACCUCGUCGAUGCGAGGAAGACCAAAAGGAUCUUUAGGACAGUGCUUGUUGAGAUCGGUGUAAUCAACGCACAUUCUCCAUUCAUUAUUCUUUUUGCGUACAAGAACCGGAUUGGCGAGCCAAUCGGGAUGAUACACCUCUUUUAUGAAUCCGGCUGCUAGAAGCCGUGUUAUCUCUGUCCUAAUAGCCUCCUUUUUGUCACGAGCGAACCGUCGUAGUUUUUGCUUGAUUGGUCUUGCGGUCUUCGAGACGUUUAAGGAGUGCUCGAUCAGGUUUCGUGGGACACCGGGCAUGUCUGCGGGUUUCCAUGCGAAAACGCUCACGUUGUCCUUUAGAAACCUGACGAGCGCGUCUUCCUAUUUUGGAUCCAGGUUAGCCCCGAUGAGGGCUGUCUUCUCGGGGUUACCUUCGACCAGCUGCACUUCUUUGUACUCCUUGGAUUUCGAAUUCUUUCUGGCUGUCUCUUGCUCGGGUAAUCGGAGCUGGUCGGGGGGCAGCUGUGCGGCUUGGGUUGCUGUUUCCGCCAUGCGGAUUGAGAGGUCAAUUGCCUCGGUGAUCUUGAAACUUUCUUCUUCACAGGUGUACGCAGUAUAGACGUUGCCUCUGACGGUCAGGACGCCCUUCUCCGUGGGCAUCUUAAGCACCAGGUAUGAGUAGUGCGGGACUGCCAUGAACUUUGUCAGUGAUGGGCGGCCCAGUAUGGCGUGGUAGGUCCCGUCGAAGUCCGCGACUACGAAGUUGAUGAACUCCGUCCGGAAGUGAUCGGGUGUGCCGAAUUGGACAGGCAAUGUUAUCUGUCCGAGGGGCACCGAACUUUGACCUGGCAAAACCCCCCAGAAUUGGGCGUCGUAAGGUUUUAGUUGCGCCGGUGAUAUCUUGAGGGCGGGCAGGCUGUUGCGGAAGAGGAUGUCGAUGGAGCUUCCCCCGUCCACGAGCACGCGCUCGAAUCUGAUGCUAUUGAUGCAGGGAUCAAGAAUCAGUGGGAAACGACCCGGCUCUGGGAUAGUGGCCCACUGGUCCUUCCUGCUGAACGCGAUCUCCCUGUGGGACCAGGCGGGAAAUUUCGGAUCUGCGAUCAGCCCGUCCGUGCUGUCUAUGUUGAGGCAGGCUCUCUUUAACAGUUUUCUUUCUCGCUUGGACUCAGUGGAGACCUUGCCCCCGAAAAUGGAGUGAACCACGUCGGUAGGGCUGACAUAUUGGUGUCGGGGGUCCCUGUCUUGGUCCUCAUCCUCAUCUUCGUGGUCGUGCCCGUCGCGUUUGCUGCUUUUCUUGGCGGUGUCUUCUUGGGCGGCCCGCCGUGUAUAGAUACUUUUGAGGACGCGGCACUCUUCCAUGGUAUGGUUAGACUUCGGGUGUAGCUGGCACGGUCCCUUCAACGUUUUGUUGUAGUCGUCUUGGUAGUCCCGUCGUCCAUUGGGACGUUUGACCGUGUUUACUUCGUGGUCGUACUCGCGAGGGCGCUUUCCUCUGAAGUCGUCGCGGCUGUCGCGCCGCCGAUCCCAACCCUCUCGGUGAUCGCGGUUGUCGGAGCGGCGAUGAUUUCUGUUGUCGUAGCGACCACGACCGUCGUCUCGCCGGGAGGGCUGGUCGGUGCCUCUCGCAUCGUCUCGGAUUAGUUUUUCUGCGUCAUCAGCAUCGGCGUAAUUUUUAGCCGUGGCGAGGAGCUCUGCUACCGUUGAUGGGCGCUUACGCAAUAGCUUGUUCCUCAGCGCUUCAUGGAAACGCAAACCCUUGAUAAAGGCUGAUAUGGCCUCGUCAUGAGAAAUCCUCGGGAUUUUGAGACGCAUAUCCGAGAAUCGUCGGAUGUAAUCGCGCAGAGGUUCAUUCUUCCUGUCUCUUAUCCUUUCAAGGUCAUACUUGUUUCCGGGCUGCUCGCAUGUGGCGAUGAAGUUGUCGAUGAAAGCCUGACGUAGCUCCUCCCAAGAGUCGAAGGAGUCCUCGGGCAAGCCGAGAAGCCACUGAUGACCAGCCUGGUCGAGGACUACGGGGAAGUAAUUAGCCAUGACGUGCUCAUCUCCUGCCGCUGAUCGGACGGCGAUUUCGUAGAGAGUGAUCCAGUUCUCUGGAUUUUCCUUGCCGUCGUAUUUUUUAAGUUUUUCGAGCUUGAAAUUGCGGGGCCACACGACUUGGCGGAGGUGUGAAGAGAACUGCCUUAGGCCCGGAGGACCGUGGGUCGCGUCGUACUCGAUGCGGCGCAGGUUCUCAUGGACUGCUCUUUCUGCGGCGCGCCUGUUGAUGCGGUCCCGGGCAUCUUUGGGGGGGAUGUUGUGGCGGAGAUCCCUGUGUUGAUCUUCUUCUUCUUGGCCGCGUACGCGGUCCUGCUGGCGGCGGCCAUCGGCGUCCCGACCACCAUCAUCGCGCCGUGAGUCCCCUCGACGGUUGUCGGGGGAGCGGCUGCGGCGACGCCUGCUGGGUGAGGCCCGGCUACGAUGAGUCUGGUCGGAGGCGGCUUCCGUAUAAGAGGCGUCCUGGACUCUCUUGAGCAGAGCGGCUGUCUGUCCCAUUGCGGCGAUCAGGUGUGCUCGGAUACUGGUCCGGACUCCCUGGCAUUCGGGGGUGUCAGGAAGCCGAUCCAGAUUGGCCAUGGCGACAGCCACGUUGGCGCUUGGCGUUUUGUAGACCGGCUGGUCCCCGACCAUGUCGAAGGCAUCGUUGAGGUUGCCUGGCGGCGUCUGUUGUUGCUCGUCUGCACGCCGUCGGGCGCGCUCGGCGUUACGCUGUUCACGGAGUUGCCUCUGGUCGUCUGUUUCUCCGUCAACGGCUGGUUCGUCGGCGCUGACAUUGAAUACAAUAUCCCCUCGCCGGGGGGGGAAUAUCGGGAAUCGGUCGAAACCCGGAGGGUGUGAAGGAAAAUCCAGGUCAUAGUCCUCGUCUUCGGUGUUCACAACCUCGGUGGGGACGGAGCCGGUGCUUGAGUUGGUGCUGGAAACCUGGCCGUCCCGUAGCUCUCGGAUGGUCACCAUGUUGACAUGGUGGCGAUUGUUCCUUGUCGGCGACCAGCCCGCUUUGCUGAAAACGGAUUGGACAUGCCGUGAAUAAACAGAGGCCGAGUUGUUCAGGCCGCAAGGAUAGUCUUCCUUUUUGAGCUCGACGGAUCGUCCUGAGGGGGUUGAGGUUAUCGUCAGGGAUGUUCCCAGCCGUUCGUGUGUGGUGACACGAGUUGGCCGGCGGAAUUUCGAAGAAUCCGCUCGAGCGGCUUGGUCGGGCCGGCGCAGAACUCCAUCUAUUAGUUGGGAGACUUCGAAUAGCUUGGAGUCAGCGCGAUCGAGCGCUUGGAGGAGGUCCGAGCAGUCGAUCUCCCUUCCCUUGUAGAGCGGGAGCGGUGGUCGGGAGCUUGGUGUCGUCACGCGCGUGGUCGGAGACGACGUGAUCUCAGAUUGGAUCUGGAUCUCUUUCGGAACCGUGGUCGCGAAACCGCCGCUGCGCGUCGUCCACGUGAUUUGGCCGACGGUGAACGUGAGGCCUUCGGGCACGGUCGCGGAAGCUGGGAUCGUGACCAUCUUGUUCGCCGGAAAAGUUGCACGCACACCCCCUACCUGGCGCGCCACUGUCGACGAAAGCUGGUCGGCAGUCUACCUUGGGGUAUACCCACGGUAGUAGUUUAUCGGUAGACGGUGCGCAAACUACGAACUCGAUGGUGACGCAAGACACGGACAAGCUUUUUAUCCAGGUUCGGCCGCCGAGUUGGCGUAAUACCUACGUCCUGCGUCUGGUUGUAUUGGAUUGUGUUGAGAGAUUACGAUGUCCUAGGGGGGUCCCUUGUCCCUCCUUAUAUAGUCCGGAGGGCAGGGUUACAGAUCUGGAAACUAAUCCUAGUCGGUUACAAUUGCCAUAGAUAGUUCGAUAUCAAUUCCUAUUCUAACCGACUAGAAUUCUGUUUGAUCUCCACAUCUUGCUUCCUUGUGCGAGACUCCAGGCUGUCGGAUCAAGCCUUAAACUCGUCUCGUAAUGGGCCAAGCCUCCUGGCCCAAGUCUAGCCGUAAGGGUAUAGGGGUCUAUCCCCCCACAUGAGGGUAUAGGGAUUUAUACCCCCACAGUUAUUCUUGAACAACAAAGAAACUACAACGACAUUUGUUUUUCCAUUGUCAUGUUGUAAGAUUUAUUUUGAAGAUUGUUCAAAUUGUAUUUGGUUUAUAGCAGCCGAAUAUGUCAGCCGUUCAACAGUGUUUUUCUCUUAUAUUGUUUGUUAGUUUCUCUUAGGCAUUGGGCUCAACAACUAAUUUGCCUAAUGGAUUAAUUAUUGGUCCAUUCUUAGGCCUUGUUUAGUUCCUAGAAAAUUUUGCAAAAUUUUUCAGAUUCUCCGUCACAUCGAAUCUUUAGACGUAUGCAUGGAGUAUUAAAUAUAGACGAAAAGAAAAA
rnacentral:lncRNA from 1 species